GGCCUGGCGGCCGGGCACGCGCUGUGGUGGGCACGUGGGGCCCCUUCGUCCCCGGCGUCCGGGCGCCUCGUACCAGCCCCCACCUUGGCCUCCGUCCGAUGGCUGCGUCCGGCGCGUAGAGAGGCUGGAGACUCGCCCUCCGCCGAGGGCCGCUCGCUCGGGCCCGCGGUGUUUGGGGGACGUGUUAGGCACCCGGGCCGCUAGAAGAAUGGCGUCCAUUUACAUAAUGCUUUGUUUGCACCCUGCUGGUCUCUUCAGUGCAGCCUCAGUAGCCCCACCUCCUGCCCCGUCUCCCGCCGCAGCCUCUUCGGGCGUUAGUGGAGUAGUGCGCGGCGAAGGGCUGCCGGCGGGCCCGCGGGUCCGCCCCGCUCGCGCGGCCCGGGCCACGCUCCCUGGACUGGCCCACCCUAGGCGCGGCCGCCAUCUUGGGAGGUCUUCCUGACCGAGUCGCCUCGCCCGAAAUGGCCAUCGAGACGUAGGAUAGCGAGUUGUGAUUUUUUUCCCCCCUCUCCUCGGUCCACCGCCAUACCCAGCCUAGAGGAGGUCGUGUGAACAUGUUGAAUACCUCAGAGAAAGGGCUAACGUGGCGCUCCUCCGCCCCUUUUUUCCCCACCGCGGGGAGGGCUGGCAGCCAUGUUUCGCAACAAAAUGGCGACACGUCGCCAACGGGAAAUCGGAGCAAGAUAAACCCAGAGAGAUGAAGUGACUGACUCAAGGUCACACAGAAUGGAAUCCAUAUCUUCUGAUUUCCAUACUGCCUGGGACUCUGCUGAUGGGAACCACCUGUUCCAGGUCUUUUGAGCUUUGGAUUUCCCCAGUCCUUCAGUCCUUUCAGUUUUGAAUUGAAACCUGCUCUACUGGGCGAGGCCAGGUCCAGGAGGACUUUGACAGCUCACACCAGCUUUUCUUUUCCUAGAGCCAGCUGGCAUUGAUCUCAGCCUUCAGCAACCUUCAGUUACCACCUACAAAUGGAUGAUUUACAGUCUCCAGUUCACAGGGAGAACUUAAUGGGCUGGAGAAAUUUUAAGGGUGCUUGCUGCUCUUCCAGAGGACCGGAGUUCAAUUCCCAGCAUCCAUACCCUGUGGUUCAAUUCAACAUCCUCUUCAAGCACCCACACACAUGUGGCUUAAACACACACACACACACACAAAUAAAAGCAAAACAAUUAAAAACAAUUAAAAACAAUUGAAAACAA